rnacentral:rRNA from 1 species
CACGUAGGGUGCGAGCGUUGUCCGGAAUUAUUGGGCGUAAAGGGCUCGUAGGCGGUGUGUCGCGUCGGCCGUGAAAACCUGCAGCUUAACUGUGGGCUUGCGGUCGAUACGGGCAUCACUGGAGUUCGGCAGGGGAGACUGGAAUUCCUGGUGUAGCGGUGAAAUGCGCAGAUAUCAGGAGGAACACCGGUGGCGAAGGCGGGUCUCUGGGCCGAUACUGACGCUGAGGAGCGAAAGCGUGGGGAGCGAACAGG